GGUUUGACCAACAAAUCAUCUUUAUUGGUGCCAUUAGAACACCAAUCAAUUAAACUAUCGCCGGAUGGAUCGUUAAAUGCUUCAGCUAACAAAUAUUCCUCCGCGAUAGUUUCAACCCAAUCAACCUCCUUACUCUCUUCGGGAUCAUUAGGUUGUUUGCACACAUUAAAAAUGUUCAGUUCUAAGGUCAUGUUACCAAAAGAAAGCUUCAUGAUGCCAUUCCUACAAUUAAUCAAUGCAUUAGAAGUUGCAAGGAAUGGACGUCCUAAAAUGACCGGAAUCUGAGACUAUGAGUUCGAAGCUGGAUGUGUGUCCAAUACGAUAAAAUCGACAGGAAAGUAGAACUUGUCUACUUGGACUAAUACAUCCUCGACAAUCCCCCUUGGAAUUUUAACUGACCUGUCAGUUAAUUGCAAAGUGACGGAGGUUGGCUUCAACUCAUCUAAACCAAGUUGCUCAUAUACAGAAUAUGGCAACAAAUUCACACUUGCCCCUAAAUCUAACAAUGCUCGCUCUAUCCUAAAGUCGCCUAUGAUGCAUGAAAUGGUUGGGCAACCUGGAUCUUUAUAUUUAGGGAGAAUGUUGUGCUGCAAAAUAGCACUCACAU
rnacentral:lncRNA from 1 species